rnacentral:rRNA from 1 species
GUCCACGCUGUAAACGAUGGAUGCUAGCCGUCAGCAAGCAUGCUUGUUGGUGGCGCAGCUAACGCAUUAAGCAUCCCGCCUGGGGAGUACGGCCGCAAGGUUAAAACUCAAAGGAAUUGACGGGGGCCCCGCACAAGCGGUGGAGCAUGUGGUUUAAUUCGACGCAACGCGAAGAACCUUACCAACCCUUGACAUGUCCGGUAGGUUUCCAGAGAUGGAUUCCUCCCAGCAAUGGGCCGGAACACAGGUGCUGCAUGGCUGUCGU